GAUGAAGAACGUAGCGAAAUGCGAUAAGUAGUGUGAAUUGCAGAAUUCAGUGGAUCAUCGAAUCUUUGAACGCACAUUGCGCCCCUUGGUAUUCCAUGGGGCAUGCCUGUUCGAGCGUCAUUUGUACCUUCAAGCUUUGCUUGGUGUUGGGUGUUUGUCCUGAGGGACUCGCCUUAAAGUAAUUGGCAGCCAGUGUUUGGUUUUGAAGCGCAGCACAAGUCGCGAUUCAAGGCUAUACACCAGCUUCCACAAGCCUUUUUCACUUUUGACCUCGGAUCAGGUAGGGAUACCCGCUGAACUUAAGCAUAUCAAUAAGCGGAGGA
rnacentral:misc_RNA from 1 species